GGGUUGUGAGGUUAAGCGACUAAGCGUACACGGUGGAUGCCCUGGCAGUCAGAGGCGAUGAAGGACGUGCUAAUCUGCGAUAAGCGUCGGUAAGGUGAUAUGAACCGUUAUAACCGGCGAUUUCCGAAUGGGGAAACCCAGUGUGAUUCGUCACACUAUCAUUAACUGAAUCCAUAGGUUAAUGAGGCGAACCGGGGGAACUGAAACAUCUAAGUACCCCGAGGAAAAGAAAUCAACCGAGAUUCCCCCAGUAGCGGCGAGCGAACGGGGAGCAGCCCAGAGCCUGAAUCAGUGUGUGUGUUAGUGGAAGCGUCUGGAAAGGCGUGCGAUACAGGGUGACAGCCCCGUACACAAAAAUGCACAUAUUGUGAGCUCGAUGAGUAGGGCGGGACACGUGGUAUCCUGUCUGAAUAUGGGGGGACCAUCCUCCAAGGCUAAAUACUCCUGACUGACCGAUAGUGAACCAGUACCGUGAGGGAAAGGCGAAAAGAACCCCGGCGAGGGGAGUGAAAAAGAACCUGAAACCGUGUACGUACAAGCAGUGGGAGCACGCUUAGGCGUGUGACUGCGUACCUUUUGUAUAAUGGGUCAGCGACUUAUAUUCUGUAGCAAGGUUAACCGAAUAGGGGAGCCGGAGGGAAACCGAGUCUUAACUGGGCGUUAAGUUGCAGGGUAUAGACCCGAAACCCGGUGAUCUAGCCAUGGGCAGGUUGAAGGUUGGGUAACACUAACUGGAGGACCGAACCGACUAAUGUUGAAAAAUUAGCGGAUGACUUGUGGCUGGGGGUGAAAGGCCAAUCAAACCGGGAGAUAGCUGGUUCUCCCCGAAAGCUAUUUAGGUAGCGCCUCGUGAAUUCAUCUCCGGGGGUAGAGCACUGUUUCGGCAAGGGGGUCAUCCCGACUUACCAACCCGAUGCAAACUGCGAAUACCGGAGAAUGUUAUCACGGGAGACACACGGCGGGUGCUAACGUCCGUCGUGAAGAGGGAAACAACCCAGACCGCCAGCUAAGGUCCCAAAGUCAUGGUUAAGUGGGAAACGAUGUGGGAAGGCCCAGACAGCCAGGAUGUUGGCUUAGAAGCAGCCAUCAUUUAAAGAAAGCGUAAUAGCUCACUGGUCGAGUCGGCCUGCGCGGAAGAUGUAACGGGGCUAAACCAUGCACCGAAGCUGCGGCAGCGACGCUUAUGCGUUGUUGGGUAGGGGAGCGUUCUGUAAGCCUGCGAAGGUGUGCUGUGAGGCAUGCUGGAGGUAUCAGAAGUGCGAAUGCUGACAUAAGUAACGAUAAAGCGGGUGAAAAGCCCGCUCGCCGGAAGACCAAGGGUUCCUGUCCAACGUUAAUCGGGGCAGGGUGAGUCGACCCCUAAGGCGAGGCCGAAAGGCGUAGUCGAUGGGAAACAGGUUAAUAUUCCUGUACUUGGUGUUACUGCGAAGGGGGGACGGAGAAGGCUAUGUUGGCCGGGCGACGGUUGUCCCGGUUUAAGCGUGUAGGCUGGUUUUCCAGGCAAAUCCGGAAAAUCAAGGCUGAGGCGUGAUGACGAGGCACUACGGUGCUGAAGCAACAAAUGCCCUGCUUCCAGGAAAAGCCUCUAAGCAUCAGGUAACAUCAAAUCGUACCCCAAACCGACACAGGUGGUCAGGUAGAGAAUACCAAGGCGCUUGAGAGAACUCGGGUGAAGGAACUAGGCAAAAUGGUGCCGUAACUUCGGGAGAAGGCACGCUGAUAUGUAGGUGAAGUCCCUCGCGGAUGGAGCUGAAAUCAGUCGAAGAUACCAGCUGGCUGCAACUGUUUAUUAAAAACACAGCACUGUGCAAACACGAAAGUGGACGUAUACGGUGUGACGCCUGCCCGGUGCCGGAAGGUUAAUUGAUGGGGUCAGCGCAAGCGAAGCUCUUGAUCGAAGCCCCGGUAAACGGCGGCCGUAACUAUAACGGUCCUAAGGUAGCGAAAUUCCUUGUCGGGUAAGUUCCGACCUGCACGAAUGGCGUAAUGAUGGCCAGGCUGUCUCCACCCGAGACUCAGUGAAAUUGAACUCGCUGUGAAGAUGCAGUGUACCCGCGGCAAGACGGAAAGACCCCGUGAACCUUUACUAUAGCUUGACACUGAACAUUGAGCCUUGAUGUGUAGGAUAGGUGGGAGGCUUUGAAGUGUGGACGCCAGUCUGCAUGGAGCCGACCUUGAAAUACCACCCUUUAAUGUUUGAUGUUCUAACGUGGACCCGUAAUCCGGGUUGCGGACAGUGUCUGGUGGGUAGUUUGACUGGGGCGGUCUCCUCCUAAAGAGUAACGGAGGAGCACGAAGGUUGGCUAAUCCUGGUCGGACAUCAGGAGGUUAGUGCAAUGGCAUAAGCCAGCUUGACUGCGAGCGUGACGGCGCGAGCAGGUGCGAAAGCAGGUCAUAGUGAUCCGGUGGUUCUGAAUGGAAGGGCCAUCGCUCAACGGAUAAAAGGUACUCCGGGGAUAACAGGCUGAUACCGCCCAAGAGUUCAUAUCGACGGCGGUGUUUGGCACCUCGAUGUCGGCUCAUCACAUCCUGGGGCUGAAGUAGGUCCCAAGGGUAUGGCUGUUCGCCAUUUAAAGUGGUACGCGAGCUGGGUUUAGAACGUCGUGAGACAGUUCGGUCCCUAUCUGCCGUGGGCGCUGGAGAAUUGAGGGGGGCUGCUCCUAGUACGAGAGGACCGGAGUGGACGCAUCACUGGUGUUCGGGUUGUCAUGCCAAUGGCACUGCCCGGUAGCUAAAUGCGGAAGAGAUAAGUGCUGAAAGCAUCUAAGCACGAAACUUGCCCCGAGAUGAGUUCUCCCUGACUCCUUGAGAGUCCUGAAGGAACGUUGAAGACGACGACGUUGAUAGGCCGGGUGUGUAAGCGCAGCGAUGCGUUGAGCUAACCGGUACUAAUGAACCGUGAGGCUUAACCUUACAACGCCGAAGGUGUUU
rnacentral:rRNA from 1 species